AAAAUCCGUUGGUUUCACGGGACCUUGAGGGUU
rnacentral:tRNA from 1 species